rnacentral:tRNA from 1 species
GCGCAGGUGGCGGAAUGGCAGACGCACCAGACUUAGGAUCUGGCCCCCGCAAGGGGAUGAGGGUUCAAGUCCCUCCCUGCGCACCA